GACAGAGGGUGCAAACGUUGUUCGGAAUUACUGGGCGUAAAGCGCGUGUAGGCGGCUGCGCAAGUCGGAUGUGAAAUCCCGUGGCUCAACCCACGGAAGUGCACCCGAAACUGCGUAGCUUGAGUCUCGGAGAGGAAGGUGGAAUGCUUGGUGUAGAGGUGAAAUUUGUAGAUAUCAAAGCGGAACACCGGUGGCGAAAGGGCGGGACCCUUC
rnacentral:rRNA from 1 species